AGGGAAUCUUCGGCAAUGGGGGCAACCCUGACCGAGCAACGCCGCGUGAGUGAAGAAGGUUUUCGGAUCGUAAAGCUCUGUUGUAAGUCAAGAACGAGUGUGAGAGUGGAAAGUUCACACUGUGACGGUAGCUUACCAGAAAGGGACGGCUAACUACGUGCCAGCAGCCGCGGUAAUACGUAGGUCCCGAGCGUUGUCCGGAUUUAUUGGGCGUAAAGCGAGCGCAGGCGGUUUGAUAAGUCUGAAGUUAAAGGCUGUGGCUCAACCAUAGUUCGCUUUGGAAACUGUCAAACUUGAGUGCAGAAGGGGAGAGUGGAAUUCCAUGUGUAGCGGUGAAAUGCGUAGAUAUAUGGAGGAACACCGGUGGCGAAAGCGGCUCUCUGGUCUGUAACUGACGCUGAGGCCCGAAAGCGUGGGGAGCGAACAGGAUUAGAUACCCUGGUAGUCCACGCCGUAAACGAUGAGUGCUAGGUGUUGGAUCCUUUCCGGGAUUCAGUGCCGCAGCUAACGCAUUAAGCACUCCGCCUGGGGAGUACGACCGCAAGGUUG
rnacentral:rRNA from 1 species